rnacentral:rRNA from 1 species
UAGGGAAUCUUCGGCAAUGGACGAAAGUCUGACCGAGCAACGCCGCGUGAGUGAAGAAGGUUUUCGGAUCGUAAAACUCUGUUGUUAGAGAAGAACAAGGACGUUAGUAACUGAACGUCCCCUGACGGUAUCUAACCAGAAAGCCACGGCUAACUACGUGCCAGCAGCCGCGGUAAUACGUAGGUGGCAAGCGUUGUCCGGAUUUAUUGGGCGUAAAGCGAGCGCAGGCGGUUUCUUAAGUCUGAUGUGAAAGCCCCCGGCUAAACCGGGGAGGGUCAUUGGAAACUGGGAGACUGGAGUGCAGAAGAGGAGAGUGGAAUUCCAUGUGUAGCGGUGAAAUGCGUAGAUAUAUGGGGGAACACCAGUGGCGAAGGCGGCUCUCUGGUCUGUAACUGACGCUGAGGCUCGAAAGCGUGGGGAGCAAACAGG